UCCAUGAAAACAUCGCCAGUCGUGAGCUACUUUAAAAUUAUGACAACGUCCACCUCCACAUGUGAGAUCCAGACCACAAUAGACAUGAGAACUGCCACCGAGGCCAACGUGGCACUCACCGUUUCUGUGACAGAUGGCAGGGCGACUGUCAGUAAUUUUGUCAUCGAUGUCACAACAGAUCUCAAUGCAAGACCAGACAUCACCAACUUACCAAAGACAGUGUCAUUAAUUGAGGACGCGACUGGUGGUA
rnacentral:sRNA from 1 species